GGACAUUUCAAUGAAGACUAGAGAGUGAGAUGAAGCAUGUGCUAGAGUGAGAUGGCAACAAUGCACUUUUGCCAAGACACAAAAAUGCAAAGUACCAAAAAAAACAACACUAACAACAAUUUGUAUUUCUUAUGCCUUGGUGCUUGGUCGAAAAUAUAAAAAUUACUUCGUUUACAUUUACAAGCAUUCAGGGAUAAGUGAGAAAGAGAGAGAGGGAGACAGAGGCAGGAAAAGAGAGAGAAAGAUAGUGCGAAUAUGGCAGCAAACGGUCACGCAGUGACCAGACAAGCAAUAACACUUGACGCACGUCCGGGCUACCCGUGUACGUGUUCCGGAGUAGCCACUCAGGUGGUUUGAUGGUGCAACCUACCGAAAGAAGAAAAAUUGGGAGAAAGUGGCACAGAGAGAGCAAGUGAGGUGUGCAUGACUAGCAGUUGGUUG